rnacentral:rRNA from 1 species
UCCGUAGGUGAACCUGCGGAAGGAUCAUUACUGAGUGAGGGCCCUCUGGGUCCAACCUCCCACCCGUGUUUAUUGUACCUUGUUGCUUCGGCGGGCCCGCCCUUGUGGCCGCCGGGGGGCUUACGCUCCCGGGCCCGCGCCCGCCGAAGACACCCACGAACUCUGUAUGAAGAUUGCAGUCUGAGUGAAAAUAUAAAUUAUUUAAAACUUUCAACAACGGAUCUCUUGGUUCCGGCAUCGAUGAAGAACGCAGCGAAAUGCGAUACGUAAUGUGAAUUGCAGAAUUCAGUGAAUCAUCGAGUCUUUGAACGCACAUUGCGCCCCCUGGUAUUCCGGGGGGCAUGCCUGUCCGAGCGUCAUUGCUGCCCUCAAGCACGGCUUGUGUGUUGGGCCCCGUCCCCCGAUCCCGGGGGACGGGCCCGAAAGGCAGCGGCGGCACCGCGUCCGGUCCUCGAGCGUAUGGGGCUUUGUCACCCGCUCUGUAGGCCCGGCCGGCGCUUGCCGAUCAACCAAAUUUUUAUCCAGGUUGACCUCGGAUCAGGUAGGGAUACCCGCUGAACUUAAGCAUAUCAAUAAGCGGAGGAAAAGAAACCAACAGGGAUUGCCCC